rnacentral:rRNA from 1 species
AAACUUUCAACAACGGAUCUCUUGGCUCUGGCAUCGAUGAAGAACGCAGCGAAACGCGAUAAGUAAUGCGAAUUGCAGAAUUUAGUGAAUCAUCGAAUCUUUGAACGCACAUUGCGCCCGCCAGUAUUCUGGCGGGCAUGCCUGUCCGAGCGUCAUCA